UUAGUGGCGAACGGGUGAGUAAUGUAUCGGAACGUGCCCAGUCGUGGGGGAUAACGCAGCGAAAGCUGUGCUAAUACCGCAUACGAUCUACGGAUGAAAGCGGGGGAUCGCAAGACCUCGCGCGAUUGGAGCGGCCGAUAUCAGAUUAGCUAGUUGGUGAGGUAAAGGCUCACCAAGGCGACGAUCUGUAGCUGGUCUGAGAGGACGACCAGCCACACUGGAACUGAGACACGGUCCAGACUCCUACGGGAGGCAGCAGUGGGGAAUUUUGGACAAUGGGCGCAAGCCUGAUCCAGCAAUGCCGCGUGCAGGAUGAAGGCCUUCGGGUUGUAAACUGCUUUUGUACGGAACGAAACGGUGAGCUCUAAUACAGUUUGCUAAUGACGGUACCGUAAGAAUAAGCACCGGCUAACUACGUGCCAGCAGCCGCGGUAAUACGUAGGGUGCGAGCGUUAAUCGGAAUUACUGGGCGUAAAGCGUGCGCAGGCGGUUGUGUAAGACAGGCGUGAAAUCCCCGGGCUCAACCUGGGAAUGGCGCUUGUGACUGCACAGCUGGAGUGCGGCAGAGGGGGAUGGAAUUCCGCGUGUAAGCAAGUGAAAUUGCGUAAUCUGCGGAGGAACAACGAUGGCCGAAAGGCAUUCCCCUUGGGGCUGAACUGACGCUUCAUGCACGAAAAGCGUGGGGAGCCACACAGCUUAGUUUCCUGUAGUUCACGCCCUU
rnacentral:rRNA from 1 species